rnacentral:lncRNA from 1 species
CAGUUGGCUCAUGGGUGGCCAGUUCACAACUCUUACAAUCACCUUGCUUUACAGAUGGGGAAACAGAGCCAGAGAGCAUGCCGGGAAGUGGGUAGCGUAUGGCAGUGUUAGAGCCCACGUCUUCUGAAGUCCACUCUUCUUCCCAGCACACCGUGAAACUUUGGCACAUUUCCCUUUGAAGUUCCACUGCAUUUAUUCCAGAAGAAAGGAGUUUAUUCACCCAGACAAAAGUAUACACUGAAAUGUCUAAGGUGUCCUCGCAAGUGGCAAAAAUUGAGGCUGGACAUUUCCCCUGGCCCAGUGGACAGCUACUGUGCUGGCCAGGUUCUGCAACCUUCCUUGCUAGGAGAAAGGUAAUUUUAUUCCAAGACGUGCCUUUCUUUCGGAUGGGCCUUGUUCUACCCUCACGGGUCUUCCUGACUUUGAAUCAGGGAGCAGGGUUUGCGGGUAUCAGACCCGUCUGUCUUGGAAUACGCAAUAUGCAAAUCAGCCCACUUUCUUCCUCGGAGACCAGCCCC